UAGGGAAUCUUCCACAAUGGGCGAAAGUCUGAUGGAGCAACGCCGCGUGAGUGAAGAAGGGUUUCGGCUCGUAAAACUCUGUUGUUAAAGAAGAACAUAUCUGAGAGUAACUGUUCAGGUAUUGACGGUAUUUAACCAGAAAGCCACGGCUAACUACGUGCAAG
rnacentral:rRNA from 1 species